rnacentral:rRNA from 1 species
UACGUAGGUGGCAAGCGUUGUCCGGAUUUACUGGGCGUAAAGAGCUCGUAGGCGGUUUGGCAAGUCGGAUGUGAAAUCUCCAGGCUCAACCUGGAGGGGUCAUUCGAAACUGCUAUGACUAGAGUUCGGUAGAGGAGUGUGGAAUUCCUGGUGGAGCGGUGAAAUGCGCAGAUAUCAGGAGGAACACCAAUGGCGAAGGCAGCUCGCUGGGACGUGACUGACGCUGAGACGCGAAAGCGUGGGGAGCAAACAGG